UACGAAGGGGGCUAGCGUUGUUCGGAAUCACUGGGCGUAAAGGGCGCGUAGGCGGCUUGGUAAGUCGGGGGUGAAAGCCUGUGGCUCAACCACAGAAUUGCCUUCGAUACUGUCUGGCUUGAGACCGGAAGAGGUAAGUGGAACUGCGAGUGUAGAGGUGAAAUUCGUAGAUAUUCGCAAGAACACCAGUGGCGAAGGCGGCUUACUGGUCCGGUUCUGACGCUGAGGCGCGAAAGCGUGGGGAGCAAACAGG
rnacentral:rRNA from 1 species